rnacentral:rRNA from 1 species
AACGCGAAGAACCUUACCCGGGCUUGAACUACAGAUGGUAAGUCCCUAGAAACAGGGGCUGACCCGCAAGGGAGUCUGCAGAGGUGCUGCAUGGUUGUCGUCAGCUCGUGUCGUGAGAUGUUGGGUUAAGUCCCGCAACGAGCGCAACCCCUAUCCAAUGUUGCUAAUCCCGCAAGGGAUGCACUCUUUGGAAACUGCCUUCGAUAAGAAGGAGGAAGGUGGGGACGACGUCAAAUCCUCAUGGCCCUUAUGUCCGGGGCUACACACGUGUUACAAUGGCCGGUACAGAGGGAAGCAAUACCGCAAGGUGGAGCAAAACUCAAAAAGCCGGCCCAGUUCAAGAUUGUGGGCUGCAACUCGCCCACAUGAAGGCGGAAUCGCUAGUAAUCGCAGAUCAGCAGGCUGCGGUGAAUACGUUCCCGGGCCUUGUACACACCGUACGUC